AGAGAAAUAGCUCAGUAGUAGAGUGCAUGCUUAGCAUGCAUGAGGUCCUGGGUUCAAUCCCCAGUAUUUCCG
rfam:Camelus ferus unplaced genomic scaffold scaffold743, whole genome shotgun sequence.